rnacentral:lncRNA from 1 species
CCAUAGCGGCAACUGGAAGGUUAUUUUCGCUGCGAAAAAUGACGAAGGUCUGUAGUUUCAAUGUUCUAGUCACCUUCGCCAUAUUUUGUCUGUUAUGUACUUUCAGGCAACGCCUUCAAAUGUCUGCUAUGGCAGAGCCAUUGCCAAGCUACAAAGAAAAUCGUCGCCCGCACCCACCCCUACGUACAUAUGAGAGGUCUACACAGAGGCCUACAACGAGGCCUACAACGAGACCACCUACGAGAUGUCGUCCGCGCAUUUAGACGAGACCCUAUACAACAUGUUUCAGUGGCGACUGGGAGGGCAACGAAUGAAGUGGAAAAACGACACCUUGUGGAUGCAAGAACGGAGAACGUCUUCCCACUGCAAGAAAGAAAUCUUAUCGACAGAAAAAUGAAAGCUGUUUUGGCAUUUUCAGCGAUUUAAAUGUGGAACACGACGGAAGAGAAUAAAACUUGACAACAA